GUGUUAAAUCCUUGGUGCAGGAACAUAUGAAACCUUGGAUGACAUCCCAGCCCAUGUGUGGAAGGGGCUGCCAAACAGCAUGAAGCUGGGACCAUCAGCUGUCAACCCCAAUCGCAUUGGUGUCUGGGCAUCUAGAUUAAUACCUAAAGGCAAAAGGUUUGGACCAUUUGUGGGAGAACGAAAGAAGAGAUCUCAAGUGACGAGCAAUGUUUACAUGUGGGAGGUAUAUUUUCCAGCCUCGGGGUGGAUGUGUGUAGACGCCACGGAUCCAAUGAAAGGAAACUGGUUGCGGUAUGUGAACUGGGCACGCUCUUCUCAAGAGCAAAACCUCUU